CAGCUGCAUCAGACUGUGCCCUGUGUCCUGUUGGCAUGUCCCCAUGCUUCGUCCCUGGAGUGAACUACAACCUGGGACUUCCAGAGGCGGCUAUGGUUAGGCAGGGAGCAGCCAGUGUUCUGGAGUAGACCCAGACAUAAACCUAAUUCUUGAUUUGAGAACAGUGGCUCCUCUGAACUGGCUUGAUAAUGUGUUACCAGCCGGGGCGAGUCAGCCAUAGAGGGGCCUGGCAAUCCUUCUGCCCUGCAGAUUCUUUGACUCCUUCUUUUCUUUCUGUUGCUUUUGUUUGCCUAGUUGAGACAGGACCUCACUAUGAAGCCCAGGCUAGGCUUGAGUGAGAUCCCUCUGCCUCAGCCCUGCAGGGUGCUGGAUCCGGGAAUGUGCAGGCUCCUUACUGUUUGGAAGGAGGAAUUCUGCAGGGCUCAGAGCCGCAGGUGUUCCAUCCACCCUUCAGCUGCACUUCCUGUGGAUGAGACCCAGAGAAAUGGGAAGAUCAACUGGGCAGCAAGUGACAAUCACCUACUGAAUGUCACUGCUCCUCGAGUCACCAGAACAGACCGUUGUAUGAAUAAGAAUGACGUCUGCGAGCACCCGCCGUGCUCCACUGAUUGUAUGGGAUGCUCCUGGGAUUGGGCCAAGAGGUUCAACUCCAGCACCAGAGGGAGUAGGAUGCCAGGAGAGGCCAGCUUUGCAAACUCCCAACCCCCCGGGUUCUCAGUGGCAGAAGACUGAGUGUACAGGGACCAAGGUGGCUUGUGGUUGAGCUGAGACCACUGCACUUGGAGCAUCUGUAGCUCCAGACCCCUUCGCUUUCCUGACUCUACGGAUGAGGUGAUUCACGCUUGCUUCCUAUUCUGUCUUCAUGGAGUCAAGGAUGCUCUUAGCACCCGUAUUAGUCUAUUCUGGCUCUGAGAAGAGCAUGCUGUAGACUGGGUGGCUUCUAAACAACAGACCUUGAUCUCUUGGCUGUGAAGGCUGACAAGUUCAAGAUCAAGAGAUUCAGUGUCUCACAAAGGCCAGCUUCCGAUGACUUCUUCUCAUCGUGUCCUCCCAUGCCCGAGGGACGGAGUCUUCGGGUCUCAUUCACAAGGGCACUAUCCCCAGGGUCUAGCCAGCUCCCAAAGGUCUGCUUCCUGAUCCUAUCACACCAUGGACCAGGAUUGCAACCUUUGAUUGGAGGGUGGGGCAUAAAUAUCCAGUCACUGACAACACCCUUCCAGAGCCCUUAGGAUUCAAAAUGAUAAGUGAAUUCUCCAUUCUGGAACUGACACCACCUUCUGGAAAGAAAUAUACAGAAAGAGAAAGUAUACUAGUGUCAAGAAGAGAACGUCCCUGCUUUCCCAAAGAUAUACAAGUGGCCAUCUCAGCGGCUCUAGAUUCUAGAUCAUAGCACAGUGGAUAUGUUUGCUUAUAAAGAUAUUUUGAUCUUUUAGUUUAUGACUCAAAUGGAUUGCCAGAGUGGGGAUGAGGAGACCAAAAACAUAUCUAAGGCUCUUAGAACAUCUUUUCAAAUUGCCUUCCAAAUGGGUCAGAUUAAUUUUCAUCUUAUUCGGGAUCGGUACUGGCUGGUUUUGUGUGUCAACUUGACACAAGCUGGAGUUAUCACAGAGAAAGGAGCCUCCCCUGAGGAAAUGCCUUCAUGAGAUCCAGCUGUAGGGCAUUUUCUCAAUUAGUGAUGGGGGGGGGCGGGAAGGACCCCUGGUGGGUGGUGCCAUCCCUGGGCUGGUAGUGCUGGGUUCUAUAAGCAAGCAAGCUGAGCAAGCCAGGGGAAGCAAGCCAGUAAGUAACAUUCCUCCAUGGCCUCUGCAUCAGCUCCUGCUUCCUGACCUGCUUGAGUUCCUGUUCUGACUUCCCUUGGUGAUGAACAGCAGUGUGGAAGUGUAAGCUGAAUAAACCUUUUCCUCCCC
ensembl:lincRNA Gm44783 predicted gene 44783